UAAGCUACUACCCAUUUCUCUCUUCUUGUUGUUUGGCAUACAUAAAUGAGCUGAGGGAAGAGUUUGUGUGGGGUGGGAGAUGAAAUUACUAUCAGAGUUGGAAGCUUUAUUGUUCUUUUGCUUUUUCAUGGAAAUGUAAUCUGUUACUAUUUCUCAAGUGUGGAAUUCUUUUUUCAAAUUGGUUUUAUUUUUCGUGGUUUUUGUAAUCUGUUUUCUUUUUCCCCACAUCAAAAGGAGCAGCUUUUUCUAUGGCAAGAAAUAAUGAAGCUACUGCCAACGAGUCCAAGAAUGAAUCUAAGGUAAAUAUUUUUCUUUUCUCUAAUUAUUAAAUUUG
rnacentral:lncRNA from 1 species